GCCUGGCUCGCCCGAGGGCGGGCGGCUGCGGGCCCCUGCUGCCGAACGGAGGCCGUCCGCUUCCCCCGGCCUCUCUCCGCGGGCCCUACCGCGCCUCCCGCUCCUCUCCCGGGGGUUUCAGUUGCCAGUGCCAAAAGGCAGGAAGCCGAUCGUCCUGAUUUAUGGCCAGAAGGUCAAUAGCCUAAGGCUACCUCACAAUGCCUCUGUCAGUCACUUCUCUUCAUCUCAUCGUGUAGGCAGUAUCUAUUUCAUCUCACAUCAUCGCAGGAAGGGUGUGAGUUUGUAAGCCCGAUCCAAUCCGUGUUUCAUCUUAUGGACAAGAAAGCUGAUGAGUUUUGAACCUGGGGUAGAGAGGAGGCAAUGAGGGAUGGAGAUCCUGAACAGAGAGGACAGGCAGUGUGAUGGCCUCUCCAUCGGUCUGUGGCCUUGUGUCCUAACCAUGCUGAUAGAGAAGAACAGAAAAUGGCCUCUGCAUGAGCCCCCUGUACCUACCCCUCUGGGCACAUACUUCUAUGGUCAGACUACAGACACCCCAAGUGUCCUCUGUGCCCCCACAAGUGGCAUACGAGCAGUAGCCAGUAGCCUCAGUUUUAAAGGCUGGAGCGUGGCACAAUGAGGCUGGACUCAGAAGAACUAUGUUACAGUAUGACUUUGCCAUGGACCAUCCGUGUGAACCUGAGUGAGUUGCUUGAGGACGCCGAGCCUGCCAGUUGGGAAUGAUAACGGCCAUAUACCUAUUUCAUGGGACUGAUGUAAAAGGACAGGCGCGAAGCUUUCCAUUUAAAAGCCUUUGUAACUUGAUGUGCUCUGUAUCUGGAAAUGGCUGGAAGGAGAGUCCAGGUCACUUCCCCCUGGGGUGUGCCAGGCGGGUCUAGCGAUGGGCAACAGCGCCUGAGCUCCCUGAUGAACACACCUCCCUUACCCCAGUAAUCUGACUUUGGGAUCUGCAACUCCAUAUUGAUUUCUUCCAGUCAAGAGUGAUGUGAGACCAGAAGCCAACCAGCUCCAACAAAGUCUUGGUGAGCUUGAAACGAGCCAGUUUCCUCUGGAUGAGUUUCUUCUGCUGAAUCACGGAAAUGGAGGCUGCCCAGGCCAACGAAAACCAAAUCUGUCUGCCCUGUCUUGUCAGACACCUCCACCUUCCCCACCAACUGGACGCUGAAGCCCCCAGCCCUCGCUAAUGUUCCACACCACCCCCCUCACUGUGGGAGCUGGCCAGCACUGGCAAAAGGGGAGCAUCAGUAAUUUUCUCCAAAGGAGCUUGUGCCUAGAGAAACCAAUAUUUAACAUCCCCAUUUACAUUGAAAGCGUGAUUCUGAUUAUGAGAUGGUAAUGAGGGGAUUAGCCAGAGAGAGCCCCCCUGCCUGCUGCCCCCUCCCAUUCUUCUCUCCUUCACCCUGCUCCUUGGGCUUACUCCUGGAGGAGGAGGUGUGGGGGGAGGGUGCGGGCACUCCCACUGGGAGAGCAUCAGAGAUGCCAGAGCAGGGCAGGGGUCCUCCAAGACCCCAUCUGAGGACCCCUUAUUCAUGUCUGGAAUCAAUUAGCCUUAGAAGAGGUGAUGGGUGAGAUGUGAGACACCUGACUCUGAGGGCCCUUCCUUUCAUUCUUUUCCCUAGGCUCUGCUGAGACCCUUACUCUCUGGUUCUGUUCCAUAUUUCAGAUGGGGGAACUUCUUAGGUCACGCUUUCCCUCGAGGUAGAGGAGUGAAGUACAAAAGUCUGUUGGGAGCACUUUUGCUUGGCUCCUGGCUUCUCUGACUUCAUCCCAAACCCAGCCUCCUCCCCUAAAUCGCCUGCCUCUCUGGACCGGCAUCCUUGUUGUCCUUGUCCCAGACCCUGCCUUUUAACCAGGCAGCAGUUUAUCUCUGGCUCUUCUUGUGGGGUGAGGGGUGGGGGAAGGAGAGAACCCAAGGGGGUCACCCAUCCUGAGGCCCCGUUUGUUGGUGGACAAUUGCGCUCAGACAGGAUAAUUCAGUGUGUGAUUGUGGUCACGCCCCCCCUUUUGUGCCCCUUUCAGAGCCAAUCUCCCAGGCCCAGAUGGGUUAAUCCAUAAUGCAGACGAGCAAGUAAUUGGCUGUCAGCCCAGCCCCCUGCACCCCCUCCCCUAUUAGUGCCACUGCCCUAAUGAAGCCCAGCUUGGAGAGCCCCCUUCUCAAUGAGGCGCCAGCCCCAACCCAGCCAGGCACACAUGUGUCUCCGCUCCUCUGCCUGAAGCCUGGCUCCCUUUAGGGACCCCCAGCCCAGCCUCCCCGGGGUGACCCAGCUGCCAGGGCUGCAGCGGCCCCGGGGGGAGGCUGUGAUGGAUGGGAGGGAGUUAGUUAAUAGAGCCCAAAACACAUGGGCCCUGUCCCCACACCGACCCUCCCCCCUCACACACACACUUUUACAGCUUCCUCUGACAGCAGCCCUAGCCUUUUGAAAUAGUCCCAUAGAAUAUUUCCUCACUCCCCUCUCCAACCUAAGCUGUGCCAAAAUAGGGCCCAAGAGGGGGCCAUGAAGCUGCUUCUUUGGACACUGGCCCAAGUCAUUGCUGUUCACACUGUCCCCAACCUCUGCCAAUCUAGGUCUUCUUGUGGGUUUUGGGCAGAGAUGGCUCAUGGCAAUGUUAAAAAGGGGAACUUGGCCCUCAGUCUCCAGUGUCUCAACUGUUAUUAAAAUCAUAACAAGAGAUUUCUUUUCCUUUGA